UUGUCAUGGCUCAGGAUGAACGCUAGCUACAGGCUUAACACAUGCAAGUCGAGGGGCAGCAUGUUGGUUGCUUGCAACCAAUGAUGGCGACCGGCGCACGGGUGAGUAACGCGUAUCGAACCUGCCUCACACACGGGAAUAGCCUUGCGAAAGUAAGAUUAAUGCCCGGUGGUCUUAUAUGAUCGCAUGAUUGUAUAAGUAAAGAUUUAUCGGUGUGAGAUGGCGAUGCGUCCCAUUAGCUUGUUGGCGGGGUAACGGCCCACCAAGGCAUCGAUGGGUAGGGGUUCUGAGAGGAAGGUCCCCCACAUUGGAACUGAGACACGGUCCAAACUCCUACGGGAGGCAGCAGUGAGGAAUAUUGGUCAAUGGACGAAAGUCUGAACCAGCCAAGUAGCGUGCAGGAAGACGGCCCUCUGGGUUGUAAACUGCUUUUAGUUGGGAAUAAAACGCGGUACGUGUACCGCCUUGUAUGUACCAUCAGAAAAAGGACCGGCUAAUUCCGUGCCAGCAGCCGCGGUAAUACGGAAGGUUCGGGCGUUAUCCGGAUUUAUUGGGUUUAAAGGGAGCGCAGGCGGACUUUUAAGUCAGCUGUGAAAUCUGGCGGCUCAACCGUCAGACUGCAGUUGAUACUGGAAGUCUUGAGUGCACACAGGGAUGCUGGAAUUCAUGGUGUAGCGGUGAAAUGCUCAGAUAUCAUGAAGAACUCCAAUCGCGAAGGCAGGCAUCCGGGGUGCAACUGACGCUGAGGCUCGAAAGUGCGGGUAUCAAACAGGAUUAGAUACCCUGGUAGUCCGCACAGUAAACGAUGAAUACUCGCGAUUUGCGAUACAAUGUAAGUCGCCAAGCGAAAGCGUUAAGUAUUCCACCUGGGGAGUACGCCGGCAACG
rnacentral:rRNA from 1 species